CCUACGGGUGGCAGCAGUGGGGAAUAUUGCACAAUGGGCGCAAGCCUGAUGCAGCCAUGCCGCGUGUGUGAAGAAGGCCUUCGGGUUGUAAAGCACUUUCAGCGGGGAGGAAGGCGUUAAGGUUAAUAACCUUGGCGAUUGACGUUACCCGCAGAAGAAGCACCGGCUAACUCCGUGCCAGCAGCCGCGGUAAUACGGAGGGUGCAAGCGUUAAUCGGAAUUACUGGGCGUAAAGCGCACGCAGGCGGUCUGUCAAGUCAGAUGUGAAAUCCCCGGGCUCAACCUGGGAACUGCAUUCGAAACUGGCAGGCUAGAGUCUUGUAGAGGGGGGUAGAAUUCCAGGUGUAGCGGUGAAAUGCGUAGAGAUCUGGAGGAAUACCGGUGGCGAAGGCGGCCCCCUGGACAAAGACUGACGCUCAGGUGCGAAGGCGUGGGGAGCAAACAGGAUUAGAUACCCCAGUAGUC
rnacentral:rRNA from 1 species